rnacentral:rRNA from 1 species
GACGAACGCUGGCGGCGUGCUUAACACAUGCAAGUCGAACGGAAAGGCCCUGCUUUUGUGGGGUGCUCGAGUGGCGAACGGGUGAGUAACACGUGAGUAACCUGCCCUUGACUUUGGGAUAACUUCAGGAAACUGGUGCUAAUACCGGAUAGGAGCUCCUGCUGCAUGGUGGGGGUUGGAAAGUUUCGGCGGUUGGGGAUGGACUCGCGGCUUAUCAGCUUGUUGGUGGGGUAGUGGCUUACCAAGGCUUUGACGGGUAGCCGGCCUGAGAGGGUGACCGGCCACAUUGGGACUGAGAUACGGCCCAGACUCCUACGGGAGGCAGCAGUGGGGAAUAUUGCAAAAUGGGCGGAAGACUGAUGCAGCAACGCCGCGUGCGGGAUGACGGCCUUCGGGUUGUAAACCGCUUUCGCCUGUGACGAAGCGUGAGUGACGGUAAUGGGUAAAGAAGCACCGGCUAACUACGUG